UAGGGAAUCUUCCGCAAUGGACGCAAGUCUGACGGAGCAACGCCGCGUGAGUGAAGAAGGAUUUCGGUUCGUAAAACUCUGUUGUUAGAGAAGAACAGCGCAUAGAGUAACUGUUAUGCGUGUGACGGUAUCUAACCAGAAAGCCACGGCUAACUACGUGCCAGCAGCCGCGGUAAUACGUAGGUGGCAAGCGUUGUCCGGAUUUAUUGGGCGUAAAGCGAGCGCAGGCGGUCAAUUAAGUCUGAUGUGAAAGCCCCCGGCUCAACCGGGGAGGGUCAUUGGAAACUGGUUGACUUGAGUGCAGAAGAGGAGAGUGGAAUUCCAUGUGUAGCGGUGAAAUGCGUAGAUAUAUGGAGGAACACCAGUGGCGAAGGCGACACUCUGGUCUGUAACUGACGCUGAGGCUCGAAAGCGUGGGUAGCAAACAGG
rnacentral:rRNA from 1 species